UUCCAACUCCAGUCCUCGAGGCUUAGAUGAGUCCGCUUCACCACACCUGAGUCAAAUAAUCAGGUGAUUAGCAAGACUUUCAAAACCUUGACUGCAUACAGAGCAGCCAUUUGAUUUGGGUGUGUUGGACCAGGGACACAUCUAAGAGUUGCAGAACUACAGUUAUCAAGGACUGGCGUUGACGACCCCGGAUCUAGUGGAAAAGAGCAUGACGUCAUAGCAGCUGUAGCUCAGUCAAUGUCUCCUCACAGGACGGUGUCACAGCUAAACAGAGCACCAGGACAGAUGUAACGGAAGAGAAAAACAUCCCACAGAGAGAGAACGAAAAGUUAAAAGGGAUAGAAUACGACACCCCUGAUUUAGCACCUUCUCUCAACACACUGAAGCCCUCGCUGACUCCCCAACGGCGUUGGGGAACAUUCCAUUUUUAUCUGUUCGAGAUUAAGAAGGAGACCAUGGUAUGGAGAAUGGUGACACUGCCUGGCUGAUGUUCUCUGUGUGAGGCACUUGAAAGUAUGUGUGUGUUCGGGAUGCACAAUAUAUCGGCAUUAACAUCGGUAUUGGCCGACUGAAGCGUGAGUGUUCUCCUGAAUUGCAGCAUCCACUCUUGUGACAAAAUGUUGCGAACCAACGUAGAUGAAGUGACACCCUGCUCUACGUCGUCACCCCGAUGCCGUAAUUGUGUUAUCCAUUUCAAGACCACAGCUGAGCUUUGGGAAUAAUGAUGUAUGUGUUCUGCUGAUUGCGCCAAUUUACUUGGGCAAGAAAUCCUAUUUGGGCUUUCUUCCAUGGAGACAGCUUUUUAAAUCUCUGUGCUGCACUCAGAGCUUCUGCAGACGGGGCUGCAGCUUCUACAUAUAGUGUGUCCCUACGUUAUCAGAGUAACGAACCUUUGCAAACAUUGAGUUUCCUUUGUCCAUCAAAGCAUCGUUCCCCCUCUCUGCUUAAUACUCUGAUCCUCCCACACACAGCUGCUGCUCUUACUUCUUUUGUCUCUGAUGCUUUUCUCCUCUUUAACCGUUGUCUUUUUAUUUUUUUUUUUACUUCAUUUACUCUUUUUCGUACAAGUGUUUUUGUCAUUUUGUGUCAUUCUAAGAAGAAACACCAGCAGGUGAACAAGGCUGCUGUAAUACAAUGCUGCAGGUCUAGGUGCAGGUGAAUCAAUUAUGAGAAAUGUUCCAGAGAAGACAACAAACGGCGGCGCUCAGAAGUGUGCAGCUGCGACCCGAGUGAAAUUAAAAGAGCCAUUGUCAAGUUCCUGGGGUGUUUGGGUUUUAGAUUUCCUUUGUGGUGGUGUUUUUCUUUUUAUCAUUUCCUUUUUUUUAUGUUUGUUAGAUCUUGCAACACAUACCUGUUGAUAUUAAAGCUAAAUAAAUUCAGCUCUGACACAU